AACGAACGCUGGCGGCAGGCUUAACACAUGCAAGUCGAGCGCCCCGCAAGGGGAGCGGCAGACGGGUGAGUAACGCGUGGGAACAUACCCUUUCCUGCGGAAUAGCUCCGGGAAACUGGAAUUAAUACCGCAUACGCCCUACGGGGGAAAGAUUUAUCGGGGAAGGAUUGGCCCGCGUUGGAUUAGCUAGUUGGUGGGGUAAAGGCCUACCAAGGCGACGAUCCAUAGCUGGUCUGAGAGGAUGAUCAGCCACAUUGGGACUGAGACACGGCCCAAACUCCUACGGGAGGCAGCAGUGGGGAAUAUUGGACAAUGGGCGCAAGCCUGAUCCAGCCAUGCCGCGUGAGUGAUGAAGGCCUUAGGGUUGUAAAGCUCUUUCACCGGAGAAGAUAAUGACGGUAUCCGGAGAAGAAGCCCCGGCUAACUUCGUGCCAGCCGCCGCAGUAACAC
rnacentral:rRNA from 1 species